rnacentral:rRNA from 1 species
AGAAUCAACGCUGGCGGCGUGCCUAACACAUGCAAGUCGCACGAGAAAGUGGAGCAAUCCACGAGUAAAGUGGCGCACGGGUGAGUAACACGUGAAUGAUCUACCUCCGAGUGGGGAAUAACCUAGAGAAAUCUGGGCUAAUACCGCAUAACACUUACGAGUCAAAGCAGCAAUGCGCUUGGAGAGGAGUUCGCGGCAGAUUAGUUAGUUGGCGGGGUAAUGGCCCACCAAGACGAUGAUCUGUA